UGCUCUGGAAUAGUUGACUGCUUAUUGCCCGUGACUCCAAAGUUGAAGUUUCGUUGUCCAUGCUGGGAAAUUAGUGAACUUUGCCUCUCAAUUGGAGACGGUAACGCAGUUCUGGCAUGUUUACAGUAUGGUUGAAUUAAGGAAGGUUGUGUCGGCGGUUUUGGAAUAGUUGACUGAGUGCCAGCGACGCCAAAAUUCAAGUUUUCUUGUCCAUGCUCGGAAAUUAGUGGAUUCUGCAUCUCGACUGUUGGUGCAAAAGCGGUCAUGGCAUGGGAACACAAUGGUUGACUCAUGGAAGGAGUACUCUUCAAGCAUUGAUGAAAUAUAAAAAAGGGAUAGCACGUCCUCAUCGACAAGAAGGAUUUCGAGGCCUCGUGCAAAGCUAGGGACCUUCGUGUUCGUUACGGAAAAUUCUUUCAGCAUUUGGUCCAUUUCCAUGAUGACAACAAAAACAACAGCAACAAUGAGAGCACAAAAACAAGAAGGAAGAGAAGGGGCAGGCAAACAGCAGUGAGCCUGAAGUUCUGAAUUCAGAGAAGGUAUAUAUUUUAGUGAGUGAAAGCUUAGCUCCGAAAUGGAAAAGAACAAACUCAGGAGGAUGAGAAAAACAAAAGCUUUAGAGAGAGAGAGAGAGAGAAGGAGAGAGAGUGAGUGAGUGAGUGA